UAAAGAGCUGACGGAGACAUUUUAAUGUAUGAUUGGCGUGGACCAUGGGAAUGAAUUCGAAGUCAUUUUAUGAUGCCACCACUUGGGAUAGUAAGCUGCAAAUAUAGACUUGUACUCAGCACUUAUUGCCUUUGAGAAGUAAGGGAUCCUUUUCGUGCCAACACCUACACACCUACUGUGACACAGAAUCUCGGUUUAUACAGUCUCUUUGGAGUAACCUGUCUCAAGCAUUUAGCAGUGGGACUGGAACUUGCGACGUGUGACUGUCAUCUGAGUACUGAAAUUUGAUGCCAAGCAUAAUCAUGAUUUGCCAGAAGAGCCUCUUUUGGGAGAUGACAAAGAAUAAACAGCAGAAUGAAAUUGAAGCAACCAACUGAAUCAAGUCUCAGUUCAAG